rnacentral:misc_RNA from 1 species
CUCGUUGAUGAUGAAUUCCAGCCAAAGGUAGCAGAUUUCUCACUCGCCAUAUUUUUGCCGAUUUCUGAUGAUAUUACUCACAUCAGUAGUAGUAUGAUGAAGGGAACUAACGUUUAUGCAGAUCCAGAGCAUUCUCCUUUUCAAAAAGUUUCUGAGAAAUCAGAUAUUUAUUCUUUUGGUGUUGUACUUUUAGAACUAAUUAUCGGAAAAAAGCCUUCUGCGACAAAUUUUAACAUCAUUGAAUGGGUAAGAACCCGAAUUAAAUCAGCUUUGAGCAAGGGAAAAUAUGAAGAUCUUGUUGACUCCAAAUUAACAAGUUAUCCAGCAGAAGAAAUGAAACGCAUGAUUUAUUGUGCUAUAGCUUCUAUAUUUAAACCUUCAAAGUUUCGUCCAAAAAUGAAAGAGAUCAUUGAAGUUCUUGAAGGGACUAUACCUCCAGAGCAGAUAUGGGAUUGGGAAGAUAAUAAAUUCUUACACAGUACUAAAAGAGAUAACCCUAAGGCUAACGGAUCUCAUCAAGAAGACCAUCUCCAGCAUAUGGUGCAGAAACCUCUUGUCACUUCGGAAGCUAAUGAUGGCAUUAUGCCCAGGGAAUUCAACUACCAAGAACAUACAGCGGCAGCUAAUGAUUCCCCCAUCGACAUUCGAGAAACUCCAUCUAAUGGCACUGACAAUUUUCAAGAUUAUCAACCGAGGGAAAUUACUUAUAAAGAACUAAUUACAGCCACUGAUGGUUUCUCUCUCGACAAUUUUCUUGGUGAGGGUCGUUCUGGUCAAGUGUACAAGGGAUGCCUAAAUGGUGAAGCGGUAACAGUUAAGAGAUUUAAAUAUAAGCCUGGAGAGCAAG